ensembl:lncRNA
UGGUAUUUCAGGAUGUUCUCAUUUGCAAAUGACAUUUUGCUGUUGCCAGAAUACUUGUAUUUUCUCCUUGAUACCUUUGCUUUCCUUACCAGCUUGACAGCUUCCUUGGCACCUAAAUACUGAUUACAUAUGUGCUAUGAAAGGGCUUCUGUUUCUAUUUAGACUGCAGAAAAAAAAAUCUUAAAAAGAGGAAUUAAAAAAUAAAAAAAAAUCAAUAUUGCUGGUGAAAUAAUAAUUACAUAAUAUUUCUUACUUGAAAAUAAUUUUAAGAUCAGGAUGAAUUAAUUUGGCAUUACUUCUAUCUGCUUUCUGUCCUGGCACGUAAAGACUUUAGGUUGAUUACUUUAAUACCACACAUUUCCACUUCUCCCUGGUGACCUCUAUAUGUGUGGUUUGCUGCAACUCAAAGCCCACCAUGGAAGAUACAUUUCUCAAUUUGUGCAGUAUAUCCUACUAAGCAUUGACGACUUGCUGCUGUUAUAAAAGAAACAAGAGCCAGUGUGGUAUCACAGCAACCUGGAAUGUUGACCAGAAGGGCAGUGCCAGCCAGAGAUCGCAGCCAAGUACCCCAGUGACCAAGGUCUGUGGCGGACAACAGCAGAAAAUACGGAUGAAUGGCGGCUACUCCUCCUCAGUCUCAUACUCACAAAGGGAAAUAAGGACACAGCAGAGUGGCGAGACGCUCCUGUCAGCACCCGCAUUUGGCUCCCAAUGAGAGGGAUGUGCCCUACAGAAC